rnacentral:sRNA from 1 species
ACAGGUAAAAAAAAAGCAAAAAAAAA